GAAUGCGUUCGGUCAAAGCUCAUCCUUGUGGUGUGGCUCGAUUGACGUUUCCUAUCUUCCGAUAGUGGGUGUCAAAACUCAUUUCGGAUCAUUUACUUUGAAAAAAUUAGAGUGUUCAAAGCAGGCGUAACCUUGCCUUUGAAUAGUACAGCAUGGGAUAAUAGAAUAUGACGUUGGUCUUAUUUUGUUGGUUUCUAAGGCUGAUGUA
rnacentral:rRNA from 1 species